rnacentral:rRNA from 1 species
UGAGGAAUAUUGCACAAAUGGAGGAAACGUCUGAUGGCAGCAACGCCGCGUGGAGGAUGACGCAUUUCGGUGUGUAAACUCCUUUUAUGAGUCAAGAAAAUGACGGUAGCUCAUGAAUAAGCACCGGCUAACUCCGUGCCAGCAGCCGCGGUAAUACGGAGGGUGCAAGCGUUAUUCGGAAUCACUGGGCGUAAAGGACGCGUAGGCGGGAAGCCAAGUCUGAUGUGAAAUCCUAUGGCUUAACCAUAGAACUGCAUUGGAAACUGGUUACCUAGAGUAUGGGAGGGGGAGAUGGAAUUAGUGGUGUAGGGGUAAAAUCCGUAGAUAUCACUAGGAAUACCGAAAGCGAAGGCGAUCUCCUGGAACAAUACUGACGCUAAGGCGUGAAAGCGUGGGGAGCAAACG